rnacentral:rRNA from 1 species
UACGGAGGGUGCAAGCGUUAUCCGGAUUCACUGGGUUUAAAGGGUGUGUAGGCGGGCUAUUAAGUCAGUGGUGAAAUCUCAGGGCUCAACCCUGAAACUGCCAUUGAUACUAUUAGUCUUGAAUAUCGUUGAGGUUGGCGGAAUAUAUCAUGUAGCGGUGAAAUGCAUAGAUAUGAUAUAGAACACCGAUUGCGAAGGCAGCUAACUAAGCGAUGAUUGACGCUGAGGCACGAAAGCGUGGGGAUCAAACAGG